rnacentral:rRNA from 1 species
AGAGUUUGAUCCUGGCUCAGGACGAACGCUGGCGGCGUGCUUAACACAUGCAAGUCGAACGGAAUCCAUGGUGUAGCAAUACACCGGAAGAUUUAGUGGCGAACGGGUGAGGAUCACGUGAGAAACCUGCCCCAGACUUUGGGAUAACAAUUGGAAACGAUUGCUAAUACCGAAUGACGUCGGAGAACCGCAUGGUUCACUGACGAAAGGAAAUCCGGUUUGGGAGGGUCUCGCGGCCUAUCAGCUUGUUGGUGGGGUAAUGGCCUACCAAGGCAACGACGGGUAGCUGGUCUGAGAGGAUGAUCAGCCACACUGGGACUGAGACACGGCCCAGACUCCUACGGGAGGCAGCAGUGGGGAAUCUUGCGCAAUGGGCGAAAGCCUGACGCAGCAACGCCGCGUGCGGGAUGAAGGCCUUCGGGCUGUAAACCGCUUUCAGCAGGAACGAAAAUGACGGUACCUGCAGAAGAAGGAGCGGCCAACUACGUGCCAGCAGCCGCGGUGACACGUAGACUCCAAGCGUUGUCCGGAUUUAUUGGGCGUAAAGAGCUCGUAGGCGGUUUAGUAAGUCGGGUGUUAAAACUCUGGGCUCAACCCGGNNNNNCCAUCCGAUACUGCUGUGACUUGAGUUCANNNNNGGAGCGGGGAAUUCCUAGUGUAGCGGUGAAAUGCGCAGNUA